GUGUCACAUGCAUAGAGUGCCGGUGAAUAAACCAGGGAAAUUGAAGAAAAUUGCAGUCAACGUAAACGUUCGCUGUCUAAUAAUAAACGGAAAACGACUUCGCCACGACAGCAAUAUGGUUAACAUUAAAGUGUGAGAUUCAUGGGCAUGUAUUGUUCAGCAAUACUGUCACUCGGGAAAAGGUCUGCCCGGCAGCAGAUGGUCAUCUUGCUCAGCCCAGCAGUGUUCAUCGGGAGCGGCUAACCGUGAAGCAGCAUGUCCAAUGGGAACGAGUCCUGUAUGUUAGGGAAUGGCUCCUCCGGCUUCAUGUCAUGCUUGAUUCUACUCUGGGAAGAGUGGGUCGGUGUGGGACACCUGGAGGACUACCUCAGCUACCUAGAGUACCUGCUGUGGGUGUUCACACCCCUGGCCAUCGUCUUCAUCCUGCCCUUCCUCAUCGUGAUCUUGCUGUAUCUCUCCAUACUCUUCCUGCAUGUGUAUAAGCACAAGAACCAGCUGCGGGAGGCCUAUUCCAACAACCUGUGGGAUGGCGCAAGGAAAACCUUGGCAACUCUCUGGGAUGGUCACGGAGCCAUAUGGCAUGGUUAUGAGAUCCAUGGGUUAGAGAAGAUCCCAGAUGAAGGAGCUGCCCUUAUAGUCUACUACCAUGGGGCUAUUCCCAUUGAUUAUUACUACUUUCUGGCAAAUGUUAUCAUUCAGAAGGGACGCACCUGUCAUUCCGUGGCAGAUCACUUCCUGUUCAAGGUUCCUGGCUUCAAGCUGCUGCUGGAGGUGUUCAGUGUGAUCCACGGGCCGCAGGAGGAGUGUGUGAAGGCCCUGCGCAGUGGCCACCUGCUGGGCAUCUCUCCCGGCGGCGUGCGGGAGGCACUCUUCAGCGACGAGACCUACCCGCUGCUCUGGGGCAAGCGCAAGGGCUUUGCUCAAGUGGCCAUCGACUCCCAAGUGCCAGUAAUUCCUAUGUUUACACAGAAUGUUCGAGAAGGAUUUCGCUCUCUUGGAACAUUAAAAUGUUUCAGAUGGUUGUAUGAAAGAUUUCGCUUCCUGGCUCCUGUGUACGGAGGUUUCCCAGUCAAAUUCCGUACUUUUCUCGGUGAUCCCAUUCCAUACGAUCCCAAACUUAACGCGGCAGAGUUGGCAGAGAAGGUGCACGAAGCUGUUCAAGCACUUAUAGAUCAACACCAAAAAAUCCCGGGUAAUAUUCUUCGAGCUCUUCUAGAGCGUUUCCACAGACGACCGAAAGAAGCCUAGUCACUUCCAAUGUAUCAGGUCACUUCCUGUGUAUCAGGUCAUUGUUAAUUCAGCACUACAAGUGGACGUUGGCACUAAGGAUUGAUGUAUGUUACUGAUAUGGCUCAGCAGCACCAACUGGUAGUUGUCUGUGACACAAAGCCACAUUUAUAAUAAGAUGUGUCUAUAGAGAAUCAAGAUGACUGCUCAACUAGUAAUAAGUGUGUGUGUGUGUGUGUGUGUGUGUGUGUGUGUGUGUGUGUGUGUGUGUGUGUGUGUGUGUGUGUCAUCAUUUGGAGAUUGGUCUUUAAUUUAUUUGCACAAUUUGCUUUGUUUAAAGGACCACUGCCAAAUUAGUUGAUUUUGUGAAAAGCCUUAUGUUUAUUUUAUAAAUGUUCAACUUAAAAAGAGGUCAGUGUUUUUUUUUUAAUAGAUCUGUGUGAAUAACUGAAUUGGUGAAAAAUGGAACUAUAACCGUAUUAGUGUGAAAUGUAUUUGUAAAACACAGUGUGUUGAAUCAAGUUGUUAUUUAAAUUCAUGUUGACUUGAUUUGCCCCUCCACCAAAAAAAGUAUGAUGUAAUAAAUUCACAAUUUUAUUUCUAUCAGAGGGCACUCAAUCUCAAUGUUUAAAAAAUGAAUAAAUGUAUAUUUCACAGAGAAUCAGUUGUAUGAUCAAGUUUGCAUGUGAUCUAUUUGUAAAUCAUCAGUUAUAUAACAAAUAUCUUAUUUUUUUUCUUUAUUUGACUUACACCACACCUGUAAAUGGCAUCAUGUAGAAAUGAUAGGGACAUAUCUAUUUUUAUCAAUCACUGUAUUUGACUGCACUACAGUGGUAAAGUGUUUAACUAUCAUGGUUUAUGCUCUGAGACCCCUAUGUCUCCUCUAAUGCUAAUCAAUAAUGAUGCAAGUACAGUAAUAUUACAGCUUUGUUGUGAAAAUGUACAUUCCUAAUUAACAAGUCUAUUUUAAUGAGGGGAAAUAUGGUAAUUGUAAUGGAUAUGAUCAAGGUGUGUUUCUUUUUUGAAUUUAGAGCCUAAUCCCUUUCUUUGCUCACAAUCUAUUGUGAGCUGCCCAGAAACAGAACAGCAGAAGGUGGACAGUUUAAAGGACCACCUUUAGCCAGUUACUAGUGCCUGAGGUGUGGAGUCCCAGCUGGUGACCUGUCCCCCAAACUACUCUUCUUUCUGCUCCAUGGCACCAGCACAAAACUCUACAUGAGGUGUGCAGUAUGCUUACACCACAUAGUAGCAUUCCUCUGCAGGAACAUGGCACGGCAUUCACAGAGCCUUUCCAAGGUUACAGCGGGUAACCUCAAUGAACUUGGCAGAGGAGUCUGAGAAAAUGACCACAGUGUACUUUAUUCAAUGAAUUUUGGUACUUUGUGUUGCAUUAGAAUCAAAUAAAAAUUUACAAAAAUCCCAAUAUAUACAAAAAUGUCAUGUUCUUUUUGAUUUUACUCAUUUAAUUUACAAUAAAAUCUGAUUAACAUAUUUUAAUGCAUUUGAAGCACUUCAGACUUCCAUCACACAAUGCAACUUACUCGAAGGACCGAUAAUAAACAGUUUUUUAUAUUUUAGUUUUUUUUUUCAUCUUUUAGUACAUCA